rnacentral:tRNA from 1 species
AGUGGUGUAGCUCAGCGAUAGAACCCUUGCCUAGCAUGCAGAAGGUCCUGGGUUCUAUCCCCAUCACCACCA